UAGGGAAUCUUCCACAAUGGACGCAAGUCUGAUGGAGCAACGCCGCGUGAGUGAAGAAGGCUUUCGGGUCGUAAAACUCUGUUAUUGAAGAAGAACGUGUGUGACAGUAACUGGUCAUGCAGUGACGGUAUUCAAUCAGAAAGUCACGGCUAACUACGUGCCAGCAGCCGCGGUAAUACGUAGGUGGCAAGCGUUGUCCGGAUUUAUUGGGCGUAAAGCGAGUGCAGGCGGUCUUUUAAGUCUGAUGUGAAAGCCUUCGGCUUAACCGAAGAAGGGCAUCGGAAACUGGGAGACUUGAGUGCAGAAGAGGAGAGUGGAACUCCAUGUGUAGCGGUGAAAUGCGUAGAUAUAUGGAAGAACACCAGUGGCGAAGGCGGCUCUCUGGUCCGUAACUGACGCUGAGGCUCGAAAGCGUGGGUAGCAAACAGGAUUAGAUACCCUGGUAGUCCACGCC
rnacentral:rRNA from 1 species